rnacentral:rRNA from 1 species
UACAGAGGUGGCAAGCGUUGUUCGGAAUUACUGGGCGUAAAGGGCGCGUAGGCGGUCUUGUAAGUCUUGUGUGAAAUCCCUCGGCUCAACUGAGGAACUGCACGGGAUACUGCGAGACUUGAGUUCGGGAGAGGGAAGCGGAAUUCCGGGUGUAGCGGUGAAAUGCGUAGAUAUCUGGAGGAACACCGGUGGCGAAGGCGGCGUUCUGGACUGCAACUGACACUGAGAAACGAAAGCCAGGGUAGCAAACGGG